rnacentral:lncRNA from 1 species
UUUUUAUUGGUCUUAGUAAUCUUCCAAAAAGAGAUCAGACUCUGUGCCUGCCAGUGCCUGAAUUCCUCCCUAAGAAUAAAGGUAUAUUUCGAGAAGCACAUGAAUCCUUGCAAGCUUACAGCUACUUAUGAAGCUAUGAAUGCCUCAAUGAUCCUAAACAAAACUUCACCUGCAAGCCUAAGAGCGGGUCCUAGACACAACAAGACUCUGCGAGGAGAGAGAAGAGAGAGGGAGAUGAAGAAGGAGACAGAGAGAGGGAAUUUGCACUCACAAACAGGCAGUGAAACCACUGAGCCAAAUCCCCAGCCCCUCUCCUGUGUUCUUACGUGUGAUGGCUUCACCUUCUGACAAGUCCAAAGAAAGGAAGAAUAAAGGAAAAACAUGCAGAGGUGCGCAGCUUCUGACCGGGGGGAACAGGUCGGUGGUGGAGUUGAGCAGACCCCAUGCCAGCUGCCCUGAAGCCCCGCAGCCUGUCCAUUUGUUUGGGGACCCACCUUGGGCUGCCAGCUCCGAGAUGCUUCCUAGAAGUACAAGGCCUUGUGCAGACGUCAGGAAAUGGGCAGCGAAGUUGCGACCACUUCUGUUUCCACUGGGCAAACAGCACAAGGAGCUUGGAGGAAGCCGGGACCUUCAGGAUGUCCCUGUGCAUGGCCGGUCCCUGGGAUGUUUCAAAGACCUGAAGAAUGAAAGAAGUGCUUCCUUUCCUUUGGCAAAGGAACUUAGCUAUCACCUUAACUGCUUUCAGUUGAUCCAAUACUUGUCAUUUCUUUGUCCUGAGGGCAUUCAAAAUACCGUUUCCCCGCGCUUGUGGGACACACAGUACGUUUUUGUUAGUUGCAUUCGCCCUACGGUGACUACAACCGCACAGUUUCUUCUUCCCACCUCAUGGUAACAUUGUACCCGUUGCACUCACCUGCCCUGGACCCUUGUGAUCACUAUUCUACCCUCAACUUUUAGGACAUAGUUUUAAAAAUUGCAAUUAUGAG